rnacentral:tRNA from 1 species
GGUCCCGGUGGAAUAGAUUUACCUUGAAAGUAGAGCUAGGGCGUUCGACUCGUUCAGGGACUU